GACGAAGGAUGCAAGCGUUAUCCGGAAUGAUUGGGCGUAAAGCGUUCGCAGGUGGCUAUGCAAGUUUGCUGUCAAAAACCGGGGCUCAACCCCAGAGAGGCUGUGAAAACUGAAUGGCUCGAGUGCCAUCCGGGUAGAGGGAAGUCCCAGUGUAGCGGUGAAAUGCGUAGAGAUUGGAGGGAACACCGGUGGCGAAAGCGCCAUUCUGGAUUUCAACUGACGCUGAUGGACGAAAGCUAGGGGAGCGAAAGGG
rnacentral:rRNA from 1 species